rnacentral:tRNA from 1 species
GCCAGAGUAGCUCAGGGGUAGAGCAGAGGCCUGAAAAGCCUUGUGUCGGUGGUUCAAAUCCGCCCUCUGGCACCA